rnacentral:rRNA from 1 species
GACGAACGCUGGCGGCGUGCUUAACACAUGCAAGUCGAACGGAAAGGCCCUGCUUUUGUGGGGUGCUCGAGUGGCGAACGGGUGAGUAACACGUGAGUAACCUGCCCUCGACUUUGGGAUAACUUCAGGAAACUGGGGCUAAUACCGGAUAGGAGCUCCUGCUGCAUGGUGGGGGUUGGAAAGUUUCGGCGGUUGGGGAUGGACUCGCGGCUUAUCAGCUUGUUGGUGGGGUAGUGGCUUACCAAGGCUUUGACGGGUAGCCGGCCUGAGAGGGUGACCGGCAACAUUGGGACUGAGAUACGGCCCAGAGUCCUACGGGAGGCAGCAGUGGUGAAUAUUGCACAAUGGGAGGACGCCUGAUGCAGCAACGCCGCGUGCGGGAUGACGGCCUUCGGGUUGUAAACCGCUUUCGCCUGUGACGAAGCGUGAGUGACGGUAAUGGGUAAAGAAGCACCGGCUAACUACGUG